UUCAUCGUUUGUUUGGUUGUGAUGAGUGGCAAAUUGACUCAAUGAUGAAUGAAUGAAUGAAUAAAAAGGAACUAAAUAAAAUCAAACUAUCAAAAUAAUUGAAUUGGUGGUCGAUGAAAAUUCACAAUAAUGAAGCUCACAUCUUUUUUUAAAUUCUUGAAUUCACAAUUUUAUAUCAAUUCAACUUGAAAUGAUUGAUUAAUGGAUUCAUUUCAUAUCAAUGGUUACCAAUUGGUAAAGAAAGUGAGAAAAAUUCGGUAAUUGAUUUUUUUACAAAAAAAAUGAAUCUUUGUUUCAUAAAUCGAUGAGUUCGUUAUGUUGUAAUUAUCAUAACCAAUAAUCGAAUCAAAUAAAUUUCAAAAAAGGAAGAACAGGCAUAUGUCACCAUAUAAAUAAAAACAUAAAUUUGGAAAAUUAAAGUUUCACACCAGUAAACAUGACAAUAUUGUUGAUUGAUAAUAGAUUAUAUAUGGAUAUGAUGAUGAUAAUGGACACGUCCAUAGAGAUAAUAAUAAUAAUAAUAAAAACAACAAACAAACAAACAAACAAAAAUAAAUGGAUUAUAUGUAAAUCAGCAUGUGUUAUGACUUAAAAUAACUUAGACAUAGUCAUAUUAUGAUAUUUGACACCAAACAACAAUGGUUAAUACAAUGGCUACCCGAAUCAUUUUUGUUUCUAUAGUAUUGAAUGAUGACAAUAACAACAACAACAACAACAACAAUCAAAUAUUCAAUACACUGGCAAUCAUUAUGAACUCAAUUUACACUAGAAAAUGAUCGAACAGGAUGAAUUGACGUCAUCGUUUUUGGUGAUAACUACCGCCACCACCACCAUCAUCGUGGACACCACCACCAUCAUCAUCAUCAUCAUCAGUGAAAACUUCCAACAUCACCAAAAUAAUAACACUAUUAUUAUAUGAAUACCAAAAGAUAUAUAGAUCAUAUAUGAAGUACACACGCGCACACAUAUAGUUUACAAUUCAUAUUCUUCAAUCAACAAUACUAUAUAUCGAUGUUAUGUAAGAAUUUCCGCCCUUCUUGAAGGAUCCACACACACUCCAUAUAUGGGGUAUACCAGAACCGAUCAUUCUCAAUGAAUUUGAAGAUUUUUUUUUUUUUUUCUUGGUUGGUGAUAGCCAUUAUGCCGAAAAAAAAAAAAUCGGCCAUUUUUUCCAUUUCUUUUACGCUUGCUCAUCAAAAAGACUCGGAAAGAAGAAAAAAUUCAUAUGAAUUGGACAUUUUGAAGAUUCUAUAUUGCAAAAUAGAUUUCAGUUUGUUGUUGUUGUUGUAUAUACAAAACCUAUGUGGUUUGAUGUACGGCCUGAUGUUAUCGGCAACUUGUCAGGAUGAGAUUUAUGCUUUUCGAUUGGAAUCUUCGACAUUCAUUUGUGGCAUCGAAAUUUUUUUUGGUUUGAUCAAUGAUAUUUUUGUUUUGAGCCUUGAGUUUAUUUUCAAUGAACUUGAAAUAAAAGUUGCAGUUUUUCUUCUUUUUGCAAUAGGAUUUCUUUAUCAUCAUAUGUAACUUUUUCCUUGUUGGCCAAUAGAUGACGAUAUUUCACAU